GCCUACGGGGCGCAGCAGUGAGGAAUAUUGGUCAAUGGGCGCGAGCCUGAACCAGCCAAGUCGCGUGAGGGAAGACGGUCCUAUGGAUUGUAAACCUCUUUUGUCGGGGAGCAAAAGACGCCACGUGUGGCGUUCCGAGAGUACCCGAAGAAAAAGCAUCGGCUAACUCCGUGCCAGCAGCCGCGGUAAUACGGAGGAUGCGAGCGUUAUCCGGAUUUAUUGGGUUUAAAGGGUGCGCAGGCGGAAGAUCAAGUCAGCGGUAAAAUUGAGAGG
rnacentral:rRNA from 1 species